rnacentral:rRNA from 1 species
UACGUAGGUGGCAAGCGUUACUCGGAAUCACUAGGCGUAAAGCGCAGGUAGGAGGUUCGAUAAGUCUGUCGUGAAAGCUCCCGGCUUAACUGGGAGAGGUCAACGGAAACUGUCGAGCUAGAGUGUGGUAGAGGUAGCUGGAAUUCCCGGUGUAGCGGUGAAAUGCGUAGAUAUCGGGAGGAAUACCUAUGGCGAAAGCAGGCUACUGGACCAUCACUGACUCUGAUCUGCGAAAGCUAGGGGAGCAAACAGG